rnacentral:rRNA from 1 species
CCCAGACUCCUACGGGAGGCAGCAGUGGGGAAUAUUGCACAAUGGGGGGAACCCUGAUGCAGCGACGCCGCGUGGGUGAAGGAGCACCUCGGUGCGUAAAGCCCUAUCGGCAGGGAAGAAACAGACGGUACCUGACUAAGAAGCCCCGGCUAACUACGUGCCAGCAGCCGCGGUAAUACGUAGGGGGCAAGCGUUAUCCGGAUUUACUGGGUGUAAAGGGAGCGUAGACGGCAAUACAAGUCGGAAGUGAAAUACCCGGGCUCAACCUGGGAACUGCUUUGGAAACUGUAUGGCUAGAGUGCUGGAGAGGUAAGCGGAAUUCCUAGUGUAGCGGUGAAAUGCGUAGAUAUUAGGAGGAACACCAGUGGCGAAGGCGGCUUACUGGACAGUAACUGACGUUGAGGCUCGAAAGCGUGGGGAGCAAACAGGAUUAGAUACCCGAGUACC